CAAGACCAGGGUCAACCACGGCUACAUGCAUGAACGACGGCGCUUCAGACCCAUGUAGCGAGGACCCGAUGCCAGGUCCAGUGGACAGACUUCAGACGUCUCUGUGUGUCCGGUCCUGUCCGGUCCUGUCUCUGGUUGCCUGGUUACAGACGCUGCUGCACCCGCACGUUUAAAAAUGUCUACACCUGAAACUCCACCACGUCUAAAGAAGAAAAAACGUUUGCAAAUGUACAGACUGGAGUGGGAAGAGUGGAACCCCUGGCAAUGGAUACAAGGCAAACUGUGUUUUCUGUUGCUCAUGGACUGGCUGAAGUAAGGCAGCAUCAGGAGACCAACGUGUAAGAAACAUGAGAACAGAGAGAACCCAACCAGCAGGUCACAGUUUAUCAUCAUCUAAUCAUCUCCUGAAGUCGAUAUGGUCCCUCUCUAUCUCCCCACACAUCCACCAACCACUGGAACACAUCUCCAAAGUUCUGCAGGGCCAGCUCAGCUUCCCCUCAGAAGAAGUGCUGCCACCUGCCAGAUGAAGGAGCCUUUUGAGAGGCAGCUGGCAUCGUGAUUGGACUGUACUUUGGUCUGUUCCAAUCCAGCUUCAGCUCCAGAGACGGCAGGCGGGACGAGUCAACGGAGGCCGGGUGGACGAAGGCAUGCAGCUGAGUACAAUCCAGAAAACAACAGAGGAGGAGUGCAGCGGUCCAGGGCCAGAACAAGCAGAGUAUCAUGACCAAAGAACUACAGACUCUUCACAACCUGCUCAAACUCUUGGUACAGGACCUCACCACACGGGUCAAGAAGGUUUCCAUCUCAUUUCUACUCUGAAGCUCACCUUCUCCUGCUCAAACUGCUGACAAAUGUUUCUGCUGCUCUAAAGUCUGCUCUCCAGAACUUCCUAAAAACUCUCAAAGUCUCUUCUGCUGCAGGUUGCUUUGUAGAACUGUUCCAGAAAACCUCACUAAACCACAUGGAGGGGCC
ensembl:lncRNA